GGGGAGGGCUGAGCCAGUCGAGCGCUGGCGCUCGUCGGUAGCAUUGGGAGGUGCUCCGCAGGCUACGCACAUAUCGCUCCCUGAAUAUCUCGGCUGGAGCGCUGCUCCCGGUCUUACAGAUUCGGCAGGAGUCCACAGUGCGCGGCACAGUCGAAAAGUGCGGAGAGUGAUCACAAAGUGUUGGGCCAUGACGGCCGCUACUCCUCCCGCGUAGCGCUGACGACUGCACGCAAGCUUGAGCAGUGCAGCAUAUCGAAGCGACUGUGUGCCGAGUGUCAUGUGCCUUCGAGUGCCGUUCACUGCGGCGUCGUCGGGUCCGCACGCUUCAUCUCCGUUACUGCUUUGAUCUGUUUGUGUUGCCAUCCCGCUGUGCGAAUUUCGCUGUGUUGUGCGUGUCACCCUCCCCCAUGCCGGACAGCCCGCCGCAGGCCCGUGCGCUCCUGUAGCGGGACGGAUAACGGGGGAACGAUGACGGUACGGAUGUCGCCCCAUCCUCAGCCUCCAGCGCUUGUGGCCCUCCGGGCGUUGAUAGCGCUCAUGCUGCUCUGGCCAUUCGCGUCAGUGGCCCAGGCAUUUGACGACGAACCGCUAACAGAUGCUCAUGCAGAUUCAGUUUACAGAAGUGCGAUGGUGAUGCCCCUCGCUACGAAGCACAGAUCAAGCAGACUAGUUAAGAUGGAAUACCUCACUGCGAAGCCCCGACUACGGGGACCAAAUCUGGGCCGUCCACAGAGCCCACGAUGCGGCGGCCAAGCUCGCCCUGCCUGUCCCAACGUGGGAGCCGCCCGCUGCACGAUAAUCGCGUAUCUCAGGACUCAAUAAAGUUUUUCCAUCCACUCA